AUACGAUGAAGAGUUUGAUCCUGGCUCAGGAUGAACGCUAGCGGCAGGCUUAACACAUGCAAGUCGAGGGGUAUAGUCCUUCGGGACUAGAGACCGGCGCACGGGUGCGUAACGCGUAUGCAAUCUGCCUUUCACAGAGGGAUAGCCCAGAGAAAUUUGGAUUAAUACCUCAUAGUAUUAUGAAAGGGCAUCCUUUUAUAAUUAAAGUCACAACGGUGAAAGAUGAGCAUGCGUCCCAUUAGCUAGUUGGUAAGGUAACGGCUUACCAAGGCAACGAU
rnacentral:rRNA from 1 species